rnacentral:rRNA from 1 species
UUAGAGUUUGAUCCUGGCUCAGGAUGAACGCUAGCGGCAGGCUUAAUACAUGCAAGUCGAGGGGCAGCGAGAUCAGUGCUUGCACUGAUUGUCGGCGACCGGCGCACGGGUGCGUAACGCGUAUGCAAUCUACCCAUUACAGGGGGAUAACACUGAGAAAUCGGUACUAAUACCCCAUAACAUCCAGGGAGGCAUCUUCUUGGGUUGAAAACUCCGGUGGUAAUGGAUGGGCAUGCGUUGUAUUAGUUAGUUGGUGGGGUAACGGCUCACCAAGACAACGAUACAUAGGGGGACUGAGAGGUUAACCCCCCACAUUGGUACUGAGACACGGACCAAACUCCUACGGGAGGCAGCAGUGAGGAAUAUUGGUCAAUGGACGCAAGUCUGAACCAGCCAUGCCGCGUGCAGGAAGACGGCUCUAUGAGUUGUAAACUGCUUUUGUACGAGGGUAAACGCAGAUACGCGUAUCUGUCUGAAAGUAUCGUACGAAUAAGGAUCGGCUAACUCCGUGCCAGCAGCCGCGGUAAUACGGAGGAUUCAAGCGUUAUCCGGAUUUAUUGGGUUUAAAGGGUGCGUAGGCGGUCGGAUAAGUUAGAGGUGAAAUCCCGGGGCUCAACUUCGGAAUUGCCUCUGAUACUGUUCGGCUAGAGAGUAGUUGCGGUAGGCGGAAUGUAUGGUGUAGCGGUGAAAUGCUUAGAGAUCAUACAGAACACCGAUUGCGAAGGCAGCUUACCAAGCUACUUCUGACGUUGAGGCACGAAAGCGUGGGGAGCAAACAGGAUUAGAUACCCUGGUAGUCCACGCAGUAAACGAUGAUAACUCGUUGUCGGCGAUACAGUGUCGGUGACUAAGCGAAAGCGAUAAGUUAUCCACCUGGGGAGUACGUUCGCAAGAAUGAAACUCAAAGGAAUUGACGGGGGCCCGCACAAGCGGAGGAACACGUGGUUUAAUUCGAUGAUACGCGAGGAACCUUACCCGGGCUUGAAAGUUAGUGACGGAUCUUGAAAGAGGUCUUCCCUUCGGGGCACGAAACUAGGUGCUGCAUGGUUGUCGUCAGCUCGUGCCGUGAGGUGUCGGGUUAAGUCCCAUAACGAGCGCAACCCCUACCGUUAGUUGCCAGCAGGUCAAGCUGGGCACUCUGACGGGACUGCCGGUGUAAGCCGAGAGGAAGGUGGGGAUGACGUCAAAUCAGCACGGCCCUUACGUCCGGGGCUACACACGUGUUACAAUGGCAGGUACAGAGGGCAGCUACCCAGCGAUGGGAUGCGAAUCUCGAAAGCCUGUCUCAGUUCGGAUUGGAGGCUGAAACCCGCCUCCAUGAAGUUGGAUUCGCUAGUAAUCGCGCAUCAGCCAUGGCGCGGUGAAUACGUUCCCGGGCCUUGCACACACCGCCCGUCAAG